rnacentral:rRNA from 1 species
CGAUGAAUGUUAGUCGUCGGGGGCCUAGUGUCUUCGGUGAUGCAGCUAACGCAUUAAACAUUCCGCCUGGGGAGUACGGUCGCAAGAUUAAAACUCAAAGGAAUAGACGGGGACCCGCACAAGUGGUGGAGCAUGUGGUUUAAUUCGAAGAUACGCGAAGAACCUUACCUAGCCUUGACAUAUUUUAGAACUCACCAGAGAUGGAGAGGUGCCUUCGGGAGCUAAUAUACAGGUGCUGCACGGCUGUCGUCAGCUCGUGUCGUGAGAUGUUGGGUUAAGUCCCGCAACGAGCGCAACCCUCGUCACUAGUUACUAACGGUUCGGCCGAGGACUCUAGUGAGACUGCCUUCGUAAGGAGGAGGAAGGUGAGGACGACGUCAAGUCAUCAUGGCCCUUACGGCUAGGGCAACACACGUGCUACAAUGGUUGGGACAGUGAGACGCGAUACCGCGAGGUGGAGCAAAUCUAUAAACCCAAUCUCAGUUCGGAUUGUAGUCUGCAACUCGACUACAUGAAGCUGGAAUCACUAGUAAUCGUAGAUCAGCUAUGUUACGGUGAAUACGUUCCCGGGUCUUGUACUCACCGCCCGUCACACCAUGGGAGUUGAUUUCACCCGAAGCGGGGAAGCUAAAUUGGCUACCCUCCACGGUGGAAUUAGCGACUGGGGUGAAGUCGUAACAAGGUAACCAAGGGCGAAUUCGC